UACGGGGGGGGCAAGCGUUGUUCGGAAUUACUGGGCGUAAAGGGCUCGUAGGCGGCCAACUAAGUCAGACGUGAAAUCCCUCGGCUUAACCGGGGAACUGCGUCUGAUACUGGAUGGCUUGAGUUUGGGAGAGGGACGCGGAAUUCCAGGUGUAGCGGUGAAAUGCGUAGAUAUCUGGAGGAACACCGGUGGCGAAGGCGGCUUCUUGGGCCGUUCCUGACGCUGAGGCGCGAAAGCUGGGGGAGCGAACGGG
rnacentral:rRNA from 1 species